rnacentral:lncRNA from 1 species
CUUACUCUGGGUUCCUGGUUGGGCCGGCCAGGCUGGGCCGGGUGAAGGGAACAAGAUUGGGCUGAAGAGGGGCUCCCCUACGGAACUGGAGAAUGGGCCAUCCCGGUUGAGGCGCGUCAGGAGGGAGCCCGUCCUUACCAUUUGAAUAAACCAGACCUUAUCCAUACUAAGGGCUCUAAGAUGUCCGAGUAAUGGGCCGAUAUCGUGGGCCUCGUCUCUGAUUCGGACGAAGAAAUCUUGCG